UAUACUUAUACUAGGUUACCCACAGGGCAGUAAUGCUGCCUUUGACAGCAAAAGACAAACUACAGGGUGUUGAAGGAGUCCUUCAGAAACAUCCUAUUAUUGUUAUCCUUGUUAACCCAUUUAUUGACAGUACCCUACGACUGACUGAGUAUUAAAAAUCGUCUGGCGUUGGUCAGGGUAAAUACUAAAGUAGGGGUCAUUAUACUGUGCUGAUGGAUUAACAAGAGACAUUGGCAGAUAGUUUUGUUAACCCAUUUACUGGCAGUACUCUAUACCACUGACGAGUAAAAUCUUCUGGCGCUGGACAAGGGAAGGGCGCAUUGCCAGCUAAUGGG